rnacentral:lncRNA from 10 species
CCUCACCCAGCUCCCAUGCAAGCCAAAAGGAUGAUCUCACUUUCACUGUACCCACCCCCCAACAGCACCGAGUCUGUUUCCAGGCAGUGGGUGAGCAGGGCUGAGAACUAGCUCCAGGCUACUCACCUCCCAGCUAUGAAAGCUUGCCCUCUCUCACCUGCUGCCAUGUAAGAUGUGCCUGCUUCACCUUCCGCCAUGAUUGUCAGUUUCCUGAGGCCUCCCCAGCCAUGUGGAACUCUCUGUCUUUUCCAGAAUAUCAUAUAAAUGGAAUCACACGAUAGGCAGCCUUUUGAGUCUGGCUUCUUUGACUGAACAGAAUGCAUUCAAG